rnacentral:rRNA from 1 species
AUUGAACGCUGGCGGCAUGCUUUACACAUGCAAGUCGAACGGCAGCGGGAGAGAAGCUUGCUUCUCUUGUCGGCGAGUGGCGAACGGGUGAGUAAUACAUCGGAACGUACCCUGUAGUGGGGGAUAACUACUCGAAAGAGUAGCUAAUACCGCAUACAACCUGAGGGUAAAAGUGGGGGACCGCAAGGCCUCACGCUAUAGGAGCGGCCGAUGGAAGAUUAGCUAGUUGGUAGGGUAAAGGCCUACCAAGGCGACGAUCUUUAGCGGGUCUGAGAGGACGAUCCGCCACACUGGGACUGAGACACGGCCCAGACUCCUACGGGAGGCAGCAGUGGGGAAUUUUGGACAAUGGGCGAAAGCCUGAUCCAGCAAUGCCGCGUGAGUGAAGAAGGCCUUCGGGUUGUAAAGCUCUUUUGUUUGGGAAGAAAUCCUAACGGAUAAUACCUGUUGGGGAUGACGGUACCAAAAGAAUAAGCACCGGCUAACUACGUGCCAGCCGCCGCCGUAAAAC